CCUACGGGAGGCUGCAGUGGGGGAUAUUGCACAAUGGGGGAAACCCUGAUGCAGCGACGCCGCGUGGGUGAAGAAGCGCCUCGGCGCGUAAAGCCCUGUCAGCAGGGAAGAAAAUGACGGUACCUGAAGAAGAAGCCCCGGCUAACUACGUGCCAGCAGCCGCGGUAAUACGUAGGGGGCCAGCGUUAUCCGGAUUUACUGGGUGUAAAGGGGGCGCAGACGGGGAUGCAAGACAGGAGGGAAAGCCCGGGGCCUAACCCCGGGACUGCUCGUGGAACUGCGUGGCUAGAGUGCAGGAGGGGCAGGCGGAAUUCGUGGUGUAGCGGUGAAAUGCGUAGAUAUCAGGAGGAACACCGGUGGCGAAGGCGGCCUGCUGGACUGCAACGGACGUUGAGGCCCGAAAGCUUGGGGAGCAAACAGGAUUAGAUACCCUAGUAGUC
rnacentral:rRNA from 1 species